GGAGAUCAUUCUAGAUCCAGGCUACAGCACGAUGGACAAACCUGGAUCUGAAUUUAGGAAGAAUGCAACAGACUCAGAUGACUACGACGAUGUAGAUAUCCCCUGCAGACCAGACUUAACCAGG